rnacentral:rRNA from 1 species
UACGUAGGUGGCAAGCGUUAUCCGGAUUUAUUGGGUUUAAAGGGUGCGCAGGCGGAAGAUUAAGUCGGCGGUGAAAUUUUGCAGCUCAACUGUAAAAGUGCCAUCGAUACUGGUUUUCUUGAGUGUGGAUGAAGUAGGCGGAAUUUGUGGUGUAGCGGUGAAAUGCAUAGAUAUCACGAGGAACUCCGAUUGCGCAGGCAGCUUACUAGGCCAUAACUGACGCUCAGGCACGAAGGCGUGGGGAUCAAACAGGAUUAGA